rnacentral:lncRNA from 1 species
GCAAAGAUGGCCACCUUGUAAAGGAGGGAGGGCUCUGAUUGGUCUGGAGGAUCAGGCAGAGAGAAUAGAAUAUACAAGGCUCUCUAAAUCAUGACAAGGGGAGAGUGGUUAUUUGACAUAUAGAUUCUCAUUGACUGAGGAUAGAAUUCAGUCCUGAAACCCUCUAGUACCUUGGAAAUAUGACUUAUCACCAGAGAAUAGAUCAGAAAUUAUUACACAUACACAGUAGAACAUUAGUUAUUCUAAAGAAAAGAGCUAUCAAGUAAUGAAGAGGCGUUCAGGGAAUCUUGAGUGCUGAUUGUCAGCAGAAGCCAGUCUGCAAAGGCUAGUACUGUAUGACUCCACUCCUUCACAUUCAGGAAGAGGCAAACUAUAGAGUCAGUUUAAAAAAAAAAAAAGCAAAAGUGGUUGCCACCGGGUUGAGAAAGAAGGAAAAGAGAGGGUUGUGGGGCACAAGGGCCAUUUAGGACAGUGAAACUCUUCUACACAGAAUCUAAUGUUAGGUUAUGUGUUCAACACUUGUCAAAACCCACAGACAUGCGGACCUGAGAGAGGGAUUCCUAAUAUAUACUCUUGACUCCAGUAAAUGAUGUGUUGUUAUAGAUUCCAGUUAAAAGAAAUGUGCCACACUCAAGACGACAACAGUAAGGGACAGCUCAGGGAAGGACAGAGAAAGAAUGACUCUGGGAAGCCUAUUUGUGUGUGUGUGUGUGUGUGUGUGUGUGUGUGUGUGUGUGUGUGUGACACACUGCACACAUGGUAGUCAGAAGACAACUUUAGGAAUCAGUUAUGUCUUUCCACCUUUACAUGUCUCCAGGGAUAGAAGUAGGCAUGUCAGGCUUACUCAGUUAACAAGCAUCUUUAAAAGCUUAACCAUCUCACAAGCCCCUGACUCUUUUAAAACAUAAUUUGUUUUUAAACUGAUGAAACUGUAUAUAUUCAUUAUGUAAUACAUAUCAUAUGUGUUAUAUAUAUAUAUACACACAUAUAUAUGCAUAUAUAUACACAUAUACAUAUAUAUAUGUUAAACAUAAUAUAUAUUGUACAUAAUAGACCUAGCAAAGACAGCCAGGCCUCAGGCUCAUUCUUUCAUGAGUCUGCCUUAGCUUUCACCUGUGUCUGCUUCAGCGAAACAUUCCUUCAUGUAUCUGCUCAAGCAAUAUGUCCUUUCAUUUGUGUCCACUUCAGAAAAACACCCCUUCACAUGUUUGCCCGAGCAAAACACCAUCCAGCACAAUUGACUUUCUAAAGAACCUGUAAGUUUCCAUUUCAUUGAUAUGUUUGUGUUAUCAUAAAAUCAAAAGAAAAAGAAAAAAAAGAUACAAAAUUGAACCACUGUAAUUUGGUAAGGUAUCUAUAUACUGCAAAACAUUUGAAACAUAAUAAGAAGGCAAGCGGCUCAUAGAAGCCAGAUCUGGUGGAUCACAUCUGUAGUCUUAAUACUUGGGAUGCUGAGGCAGGAGGAUCACUGUGAGUUAAGGCCAAUCUGGACCACAUAGUGAGACCUAGCCUCAAGAUACAAAAAAAAAGGGAGAUAAUAUUUUAAUGCUAAAAAUAUCAUGUUUCUAGUCAUACUGUAGAAAAGAGAUUGGAGAGGAAGUGGGGAGAGACAAGAUGGGAACUGCAGGGAGGGAUACAGCUAUCAGCAUGAGGUACAGGUGGUGUCUGUAAUUGAGAUGGACUUUACAGAUAGGAGUGUCUAUCCUCACUCGCUUGCAUCUUACAGAUGGAAAACCAUAAGGGAGAAAGACCAACACCCAGAAUGGCUUGUUUUCUUUUAGUCAGAAUCACAGCUGGUGAGAAGAGCCGUUCCUGAUGUGAGGAGGAAAAGAGCAGGAAGGAGAUUGAGGAGCACAGUCAACAAGAGUUCCAGAUCAGAAGGGCUGAGAGUACACCAAGCAUGAGGCCACCACAAACACUAGGACGGGCAGAGAGCUUAACCUCGAUGCUGUGUAACUGAUCCAUUCCUGAUGGAACUGUCAGCCUUGAGCCCAAUAAGGAUUGUCUUCCCAUCUUGCUUGGACCUCGAUAAUUUGUGCUGACUGAGGAUUGGCAUUUGGUCUUGAAACCGGUUCAAGGCUGCAUAUUUUCUUAGAUCAACCGAUGUUAAGUCUUCUGCAUGUCAACAUAUACCGGACUUCUAAAUAAGAUAUGCAUUUGAUGCAUUUGUUUAAGGACAUGUGGGAUAACCAGGGGCCUUUUGCCAAGUGUUAUGAACUCCUGAGGUUAUGGGCAACAAACAGAUUAUACAUGAGGGACUGUGACUCCCUGUUGACCUAGAUGCCUGACCAAAAGUCCAAAAUGCAGCCUUUCCUCAAGUUAGUGGGCAGUGUAAUGAGAUUUGGUAUCAAGAGACCAGGGUUCAAAGCCAGGACUGUUCACUGACUCCUUUCGUGUUUCCAAAUGAUCUACUGGACUCUCUCCACCUCAUUUCCUCCCUCAUUAUGGCAUUGUUCUAUAGUACUUACUAGUAGCCCACACUUAGGGGGAAGGAUUUCUUGGGAUUUCAGAGAAGCUGAUUCUGGCUGCCAACCCUAGACAGAACUGUGACUUAGAAAAACUUCAACACCUUCCACCCAUCUCUACUCUUCCUGUAAGUCUCCAUCCUGAAUUAACCAUGUGAGCCAAGCUAGUUCAAUGAGUUAACCUUAAGUUUGCUUCGUAGUACUGGAAUAAAACGUUUUUUUUUCUCUUCUUCUAGGCCACUGGUAGAGGUAGCCAUAUUUCUAUUCAUGAGGAUAGCCAGGUUGAAGGAAAUUAUCACACCCUAGGAGAACAGAGGCAGAAAUCUUUGAAUAAACAUAGAUCAUUCUUGGAGAACACCAUGAAGCCUUGGAACAAACUGUGUUCGAGGCUGGCUUUGAACUACUUCAGUCAUGGGAACAAUAAAUCCAUUUCUUAUUUAAACACUUUGAGCCAGUUGUUUUACUCUUUUUCUUCCAUUGUCUAGCUUCUUCUGGAUUUAGAGGUCAAACAUUUUGACUCCUGAGGGAAAACCCACCUCAUCCUAGACAACCUCAUAAACCCUAGAGAAAACUCAUAUGUGAUAUCAGAGAGUGGGUGACAUACAGUGUCUGUCAGUGUUCACCACUACUGCAUAAGGGAUGUAGCUAAUAGACAGGAGAAAUGGAAAUUAAAUUGGAAUUCUAGAAUGUUAUUGAACAAGUCUAAGAUCAGAACCAUGGGGUUAUUUAUGAGCUGUAUGUUCAAUAGCAUUUAGAUAAGUUUUUCUGAAUUACUUUAUUCUUUUUAUGUGGAUGUGUGGAUGUGAGUGUGGGUGCUCAUGGAUCCACAGAGGGCUGUGGAUCCCUUGGAGCUAGAGUUAUAGGCAGUUGUGGAACAUGCAAUGUUAGUGCUAGGAACUCUGGUCCUCUAAAAGAUCUGCAUGGACUCUUAACCACUUAGCCUCCUCAUUUAAGUAUCUUUAAGUUUUCAGGUUUUAUUCCUGAAUCCAAAUAGAAUCUAAGUACAAAUGAAGCCCGUAAGCUGGAGAGCUCUGACCUGGGGAGAUGGGUGCUGUAUCUGUCAGAAUCAGCAAGAUUUUGCUUCAAAAAUAACUGUCUUCUAAAUCUCAGUAGCUUGAAAUAGUCUUAUUUCUCAUGUUGCAUAUGCACUGCAGCGUGGCUUGGAUGCUCUUCUCUGAGACAUCUCUAGUGCCUUAGGGAGUAGAGCUGAUACUCUUUAGAAUCUUGUUGGUAUAAAGAAAGAUCUCUGAGGAGACCUAGUUAAAUCCUCUGCUGAGAAGUAGCAAAUUAUCUCUGACCACAAAUUACUGACUAGUACUAAUAAAACAUCUCUAUACCAAAGGAAGAGGGUUGGGAAAUGCAACUUUACCACUUACUUGCCUGAAAGGAGAAGGCUAGAAACACUUGAUGAAGACCUAAAGACUUUUACUUGGGCUUUGGCACUACUGUUUGGCCUUGCCAAGAUUGUUUUGAUUGACUCAUAAUUCAUGAACAUCAAAAGAUUCUGUUAGGUUGCAGACCAAUAAUAAAGACCUAGGAGGCCUUGUUAGAUGGCAUUCAUAUUUAUGUUCUGACUCAUUAUUACACAUAUAAUAAUAUAAUUUUCCAAAUUCUUGAAGCAUAAGAGUAUGAUUGAUUACAUCAUCUGGCCCUUUGCCUGUCUAAAACUCUGCUAUCAAAUUUUCUUUUUAUCACCACCCCUCUUCUAAACAGAAAAAAAUUUCUCUGAAGUACAAUUAUGUUUGCUUGAACAAUUGUCUUUGAAUGAUUUUGCACACAUUCCAAAAAGAGGAAUCGUGGAAGAUUACAUGUUCUCACAUAAGAUUACUGGUGACUGAGCAUGAUAAACAGUCACUGAUGUCAUGUGAUCUGAAUUUGGUAUGUAAUUCAGAAGGACUUUAAAGAAUGAUAUCAGUAGAAAGCAAGCGACACCAUGUAAAGAAAGGCAAUGGUGCCACAACCUCCCGUCAGAAUGGCUCACAGGGAGGGGUUCCACUCCUUCUCCCACACUUGUGUUUGUCAAGGUGGAGGCUGAGUUUCAGUUAAGGCAGAAGGACUCUCCUGAGAGGAAAUUGAGCACAGAUGGGGGCCAUUCGGAUGCUCACUGGCUUCUUCCCGGGAAGGUAUGUUUAUGGAAGUUAUAUAUGAUCACUCUCUACUUUAUGUUUUAAGUCAGGGUCUCCCACUGAACCUAGAGUGUCUGGGUAAUGAGUUCCAGGGUCUGGCCAGUCCCCACAUCCCCAGUGCUUCAAUCACAAACUUACAAUUGCAUUAGCAGUUGUUUCUAGGGAGAAUCAAAAGUCCUGAUGGAAGGAAUAAAUAUGAAUCUUAUAAAUGAAAAAAAAACAAAAAACAAAAAACAACAAAUGAAACAAAACAAAACAAAACAAAACAAAACAAAACAAAACAAAACAAAACAAAACAAAAGCAAAACAAGGUCUCACUAUUAUGCCUGACUCUUUACUUGGGUGUUGGGAAUCUGAAAUCAGGACCCUGUGUUUCCAAAACAGGCACUUUACUGACUGAGGCAUUUCUGUAAUCCCUCUUUUGCUACAUUUUAAUUAAGGAAUUAGCUUUCUUACUGGCCAGUUUUAAGAGUGUUUUAUAUAAUGGGGGGCGAGGGGAAUAUAUCUUUAUUUACAAAGUGUAUCUUUUGUAAACUUAUUUCUAAUCUUAUUCUUUUUAUUUAUUCUUUGAGAAUUUCAAUGCAUGUGUAGUGAAAUGUGAUCAUAUCCACUCCACACUUUCCUCUCUAAUUCUCCCCAAAUCCUCCCAACUUCAUGUCUUUAUUCUUUUUGUUUGUUGUUUUGAAAACACACAUUAUUCUGUUUAUAGUGGCUUUUGUGAACCAUAAAGUUGUAAUUUUAAUGAAAUUUAUCAUAUCAGUUAUUUCUCUCAUAGACAGCAUCUUUACUGUGAUUUUUAAGUUAUCACCAUAGCUGUAACAUCUAAUUUUUCCUCUUUUGUAUUUAGUAAAAGUAAUUUAAUAAUUUUGUGUUGCGAAUUUUAGUUUUUUCAUUGUGUUAAUUUUUUUGUGAAAAGUCUAGGUCUCAUCUAAGUAGAUCUUUGAACACAUGUGGAUGUCUAGUAAUUUCAGCAAUUUUUCCAAGACUUACCUUUGGCCCAUUGUCUGAGCAGAUAUACCGUGCCCUUCUAGUAGACAAUCAAUGUGUUUGAUAAGAUUGAAUCUAUGCAACUGUCUUUACAUAUUGGUCAAACUACAUUCAGAGUCCAUUAAGCUCAGAACUACAUCCAAUGCCCCCCAUAAUAACCCCACUGUCUAAAUCAGUGUACGGAACUUCAGUGAUUUAAUGUUAACACAUUAGGAUUCUAACACCUCCACUAAAGAAUUGCCAAACAUGAGACACCCAAAGUACCAGAUCACAGGAUCCUUCCUGUCUGAAGUUCAGAUGCCGCUCAUAACAAUCUUUUGUAUCAAGGAUGCUCUCUCUAAGGCAGCUGUGAUGGCUACAUCAGAUGAAAUCAGCUCUGUCUGAAACUCAGGUUCAUUACAACUUCAAAAUGAGAAGCGAGGGAAGGCAGUGUAGAUAUUAAACAAGUUCAACGCAGUUCGGCUACUUGCAGAUUUUGCCGCUGAGUUUGACUCUCACUUGGGAAGUAUUUUACUGGCGGAAGGCAUGCUGAUUGCAGAUUAGACUUGGCUCCUUUCGGUGACAAACCUGGAGGAAAAUUACCAGCUUAUAAUAUUGAAUUUUACCUACAUAAUUCAACAACCUCUUUGAGCUUGCCUGAUGUUUUUCAUGCUUCUUAAUUUCAUGGAGCCAGGAUUGGGGCUGAAGUAGGUGAUGUUUCUGGAAGAAACAGACCACUUAUUGGUCCCAGGUGGCACCAGAGCUUUUGAUCCUAAUACAACCAUUUUUAAGCAGUGCCCGGGACUUGUAAAAUUGGUCAUUUUAUUAGAGAAAUACAUUGGACUUGCAGUCAGAAAAUGCCCUCAUUGGGAGCUGCCACCUGAUUGGCUGAUGAUGCAGUCAAUGUUUGCAGUCUCUUUCUAGCCAAAUAUUAGAUUUUAGAAAUAUCUCUGAGCAUGCAUUUUAGGGAGAGAAGGUCACUCUUUCCAUAUGGUGAGAUACAUCCUAGCACAUUUGGAAGGGAAGAUUAUUCAAGCAAGCCGUGGUUUGCAUAAAGUAACAUUAAAACAGCAAUUUUCUAGUUCAUAGAUUACAAUGAACAACCCUCCCAAUGCCUAUGAUAACUUUUAAAUCACUGUCCUGUUUGAGUCACACAACAACCAGACAUGUCAGGGAAACUUAGAAUCAUCAGGCCUGCCUUUUGGUCAUAUGAGACAAGGAUCAUGAAUAGAUAUGACCAGUCUCCAAUGGCUAGAAACAGAGACACUACAGCUGGUGACCCUGCUUUCCAGUGAUCUUUCCAGAUAAUUUAUUCUGAGCUUUCCCCAUGCCAACAAUCUGAACCUCCAGAAGUCUCCAGAGAAGAGUCCCCUGGUCUCAUGGUUUAAUUCGUCUUUUUAGAGACAGUUAAGAGACAAAGGUAUUGAAUCUGGAUACAGGCAAGAAAGAGGCAAAUGGGAAGUGAAAUCUAUUUUUGCUUCUUCAUUGCUUUGCUAGCUGAUGAGAACGUGGUGAGACUUAAGGACCACCAGUAACAAACACAGGCACUCUUCUGUUAUUUUGCUUAUAAAGAGCCAACCUUUUUAGUGGCAAGUCCAGUCGGUCACCAUCUUUUCCAGUGGAAAUAGUUCUGUUAAGAGUCAUCCUACCCUAUGAAUGUACCUUUAUGGAGCAGACCAGAGGGAAAAGUAAUUGAAUUUAAUAAAAGCUGUAACCAAUAUAAAGCCACAGGGAAAUCCAUUUCACUUCAAAGCCAAGAUGCAUGGUUCCUAAAUAGAAUUAAUUGCCUGGCUGUUUCUUCCAUCAAAUCUCAAUCCAACAGCAAAGAAUUAAUUUCCUUGGCAUUUCUUAUUUCAUAGUCACAUGAAUUCUCUAUCGAUGGUUAUGGCUGGAUUGAUAAAAAUCAUUCUCAAAAAUGACAAUCUUCAAAUUGAUCAGUAACCACAGCUGGGAAGUCUUACAUUACUGUGCUUAGCAGAGGUAGAAGCUGUUAUAGGCAAUCUUAAUGAAUUUGUCAAAGGUGAGACUCAUAAGGCCAGUACUUUAUGCCCCUUAACUACCACCUCAUCCCCCUUUUAAAAGUGUCUUCCCAAAGAAAACAAAAAAAGGGAAGAUAACAACAAGAGGGAAGGUUCGCCUCCUCUGGAUCCCCUGAAGAGAUACUUUGAUGUCCUUGCUGGCUCAUACCAAGGUUAGUUAAAUGCAUGUUUAAGCUUCCAACUUGUUGUCUGAUUCUAUAUUGGGGGACCACUCCAGUAUAGCAAGAUAGAGAAACUAUGAGGUCUGAUUUUUUGGUCUCCAAAACUGAUAUUUUGAACAGUUAGCUGCCAAGGUAACAUAUUGAAGGAGGGGCUUUGGGGAAAUGAGGGGGGCAGAGCCUUCAUGAAUAGCAGUUGUAUCUCAGAAAGAGGUCUUAUGAACUUCCCUGUCCCUCCACUAUGUGAAGACACAGGAAGAUGGUAUCACUUGCAAGUCGGAAGUGCACCCAUGCUGUACACUGUGCCUUGACCUUGAUCUCAAGUUUCACUCAGCCUCCGUAACUGUAAGAAGCACAUUUCUCUAAUUUAGAAGUCAUCCAGUUAAUGGUAUUUUGUUUUUCCCACCCAAAUGAGACUGAGACACAUGACUACACAAGGCUUGCUGAAGGGACUUCUAGUCUCUAUAUGCCAAACCAUUCCUCACUGGGCCCUUUCAUCAGGGUAUUGUGUAAGGAAAGGCCUCUUCCUCUAAAGACUGCUAUCCCGUGUUUUCCUUCCAUAAAACUUCAAAUGAAGAAGAGGUAGGAUAAAUAGGAUAUGUGUGUGUGUGUGUGUGUGUGUGUGUGUGUGUGUGUGUGUGUGUGUGAGAAAUACAUAUACAUACACAUAGGCACAUACACAUACUGUGGUGGUUUGAAUAGGUAUGGCCCCCAUAUACUCAAGUGUUUGAAUGCUUGGCCUAUUAGGAGGUGUGGCGUUGUUGGAUGUUGGAAGUAGUAUGCCACCGUCAGGGCAAGCUUUGAGGCCACCUAUGCUCAAGCUAUGUCCAGUGUGGCACACAGUCUUCUCUUGGCUGCCUUCUGAUCAAUAUGUAGAACUUUAGGCCUGUCCAGCACCAUAUCUGCUUGUAUACUACUAUGUUUUUUGCCAUGAUGAUAAUGGGCUAAAACUCUGAAGCUAGCCCCAAUGAAAUGUUUGCCUUUACUUUGGUCAUAGUGUCUCUUCAUAGUAAUAAAACCCUAACUAAGACACAACACAUACAUACACAUUGCAUAUGUAUACAUAUAUACAUACACAUAGGUGGAAGAGAGGUGGGAUGUGGGAAGCCACCCUCACAUUUGCCAUUAUAAGAUGGCGCUGACAGCUGUGUUCUAAGUAGUAAACAUAAUCUGCACACGUGCAGGGGCAGUUUUCCCG